rnacentral:rRNA from 1 species
AUGGUUCCCCUAGCCAGUCCUACAAACACCUUUGUUUCACUUGUUAGUGAUCUGAUUGAUCCAAGCACUUGGUCAUGGAGAAGGGAACUAAUUCGGGACACGUUUUUACCCUCAGAUGCACAAGCUAUUCUGAAUAUACCUCUGCGGUCUGGAGGUGGAGAUGAUUUUCUCGCUUGGGCAAAUGAGGCUUCCGGCAACUACACAGUCAAGUCAGCGUACCGAGCUCUAGUGACUCGCAACGAGCUUCAAGCUCCAGAGGAAGGGCAGGCUACCAGUUCCAUAAUUGAUAAUCAACAGCUGUGGAAUUCGCUAUGGAAGCUCAAUGUUUUACCCAAGGUCAGAGUUUUCUCUGGCGAGUUUUAAGGGGUAUUUUACCCGAUGAGUGUACCCUGA